UACGGAGGGGGCUAGCGUUGUUCGGAAUUACUGGGCGUAAAGCGCACGUAGGCGGAUCAGCAAGUUAGGGGUGAAAUCCCGGGGCUCAACCCCGGAACUGCCUUUAAAACUGUUGGUCUGGAGGUCGAGAGAGGUGAGUGGAAUUCCGAGUGUAGAGGUGAAAUUCGUAGAUAUUCGGAAGAACACCAGUGGCGAAGGCGACUCACUGGACACAUAUUGACGCUGAGACUCGAAAGCGUGGGGAGCAAACAGG
rnacentral:rRNA from 1 species